GGUGGGUUUUAAACCCUUCGUUUUACCCCCUCAUUUCACGCCCCAGGUGCAUUAUUUUGCCUCGUCUCUCUUCUAUCACACAUAAUUAGUCACCACUCUCUCUCUUCUCAUCUUCUCCUUUCUUCUGUCGUUUGGUUUCUCUUUUUCGUCUAGUCUUUUCGUUCUCUGGUCUAUUCGUUCUCCCUCCAACUGGAAUGGGCUGUAUGUCUCUUCGUUUCUCUGGCUGGAAUGAGUUGUAUUUCUCUUCAUCUCUUCAUUCUCUACUCUGGUUCCUCCAUGCAUUUUUUUUUGUUUCUCUAUUUUCUCUUGCCACUUCAAUAUUAAAUCAUGUGUCCUUCCCUUGCCCUUUUUCUUAUGCUUCCAUGUAAAUUAAAGGCAAGUUAACUCCUAGUAGAGAAUGUAAACUGUGUUAUUGGAGCUUGGUGGGGGUCAAUACACCCAAGAACAGGUUUGUUUUCUAUUUUUUUUUUUCCUGAAGGUCGAUGAUGAUUUCAAACUGUUUUUUAGAUUAAAAAAAAGGGUAUACAUCUCUGUUUUUCCUAAUCUUUUGAAUGAUUUUUUUUUUUUUUAUUUCCUUUAAAUUUGUUUUCCCUAAUCUUUUGAGUAUGAUUUAUGUUUUAGUUUUAUUUCCUUUCAAUUUGUUUUGUGAGUGAAUGUAUUUUUUUGCUUCAUUCCAUUAAAUUUAUUUCCAACAUUCAAACGAAUUUAACUUUUGUACAUUUAAAAUUGACUUCAAUUUUGGAAUUGUUGAAAAUGUUUAUUUUGUUUUCUUGGAGUUGGAUUUGUUCCAAUCAAAUGGCUUUUCGAAAUCUUGAGGCUUUCUAAUUUGUAUGAUAUAUUAUGUUGUAUUCAUGUCAUUUUUUAGCCCAACCACCAAAUUAAUAGUGACCUGACCAUUACUUAAUUUAUUUAUUUUUGACUUGACUGUCUUUAAUAUGGGUUUACUGUUUGAAUUUAUUGAGUUAGGUACACUUAAGUUUACCUAACCUUCCUCACAAACUCUACUUAUUGUAUUCUCUACUUAUAUCCCAAUUUGUCCCCAUUUCCUUUGUAAACUGUGUUGGUAAGUCCCUCAACCUUCCUUUUAAUUGCAACUUUCUCUUAAAUCUAUUUUCCAUCCUAGUAUGUGUUGUUUGACUAUUGCAAUAUACUUUGUUUCCUUCUUCCACCUCUAACCUCAACUUAUUCUAUCCAUAUAAGGUAUGUUUCCUUCUUUCCUUAUAAUCGAAUUAAGAUAUGUCGCUAACAUUUUCUUGUUUUUGUUAGGCCGUCAAUUGAUUAUUUUACCCCCUAGUUUUGGACUGUCUUCACCAUCGCUCACUUCGAACAUAAACAAAGGGCCCAAACUAAUCGAACAUACCUCUCGUAACUAGUUUGAGGUUCGUAAGUUUUAAGUUCGGAAUGAUCUUAGUUACUAUCUAUUCUUUCUUUCUUCUACUUGUUGAGGACUGUUUACUUCAAAUGUAUCAUGAUUAUGUAUUUUGGAAUUGUAUGUUAGACAUUUUCCCACAUUUUCUCCCUUGUGAGAAUAUGAGAU